rnacentral:piRNA from 1 species
UAGGAGACUCGGUAUUCCCUGUGUGGUU